GAUGAACGCUGGCGGCGUGCCUAAUACAUGCAAGUAGAACGCUGAAGGAGGAGCUUGCUCUUCUGGAUGAGUUGCGAACGGGUGAGUAACGCGUAGGUAACCUGCCUGGUAGCGGGGGAUAACUAUUGGAAACGAUAGCUAAUACCGCAUGACAACAGUUAUUGCAUGAUAACUGUUUAAAAGGGGCAACUGCUCCACUACCAGAUGGACCUGCGUUGUAUUAGCUAGUUGGUGAGGUAACGGCUCACCAAGGCGACGAUACAUAGCCGACCUGAGAGGGUGAUCGGCCACACUGGGACUGAGACACGGCCCAGACUCCUACGGGAGGCAGCAGUAGGGAAUCUUCGGCAAUGGACGGAAGUCUGACCGAGCAACGCCGCGUGAGUGAAGAAGGGUUUCGGAUCGUAAAGCUCUGUUGUAAGAGAAGAACGAGUGUGAGAGUGGAAAGUUCACACUGUGACGGUAUCUUACCAGAAAGGGACGGCCAACUACGUG
rnacentral:rRNA from 1 species